GGCAUUUUUGGGGGAUGGGGGGAGCUGAGUGUGGGCGUCUGUGUGGAAGACUGAGCAGCCUCUACGAUGUGGAGGAACCAGGUAGCAGUCAGUGUGGGGGUGUCUGUUUGUAGCCUGAUUGUGCAUUGGAUUCUCCCCCUUGGCUGUGAGCUUCUGGAAGACAGGGACUUCCUCCGAGUGGUAACUCUAGCUGCAGUUUCUGGCACUGGGCUGAAUACUCCUUCGUUUAACACGUAUUUACUCCUCCAUGCCAGGUGCGGGGCUGAGCCCCUGAGGGAAUGGUGGUGACUAUCGCUGUCUUGGUGCCUGUAGCAUGGUGCUUACAGACCAGUGGACUCUGGAAUGAAUGAACUUGUAUAGGGGAUGGCCAGUAGGGGGACUCCAGGGCAGCUUGUGUGUGCUGUGGGGCGCUGAGGGUCCAACAAUGGGUCUUUGGAAGAGAAGGAACCAACUUCCUGUCUGUUUGGGAGAGGGGAGACUCUGCCUUUCACAACAGGAAUUUGGGGCAGGAUUGGGACAGGAGUAAGGUCCCAGGGUCCCAGUGACCCCAUCUCCCCGGUGACCCCAUCUCUCCCUUUCCUCAAAGGGUCUGGAGCCGGAGGUUGCAGAAGCUGGUUAGACCUAAGGAUGAUUGGCCCUUGACGACACUCUUCUGGAAGGCUCCCUGGAAGAGGAACCCUGACCCUCAUCCUUAUUUUAUGACCAGCCUCUCCUCUGUUCCGGCCCAGCCCCAACUCGGCCACGCUCCACCCACCAAGGGUCCCGCCCCUUUCUAGCCAUGCCCAUAGCUUGGGUCUCACCUUCCCUUUUGGCUCACUCACCUUCUGGAACCCCUCCUUCUCUUUCAUUUGGUCCUGCCCCCUCCUUGUGCUGGUUUUGCCCUAGCUCUGCCUUGCCCCGCCCCUAAUUUUGGCGUCGUCCCCCACCUCCCCAGGCCCGGCCUCUGGCAACACCCCAGCUCCUGACUCGGCCUCUCUUAUCCUGUCUCUCCCUAGGGCAAUGAAGCCUCUUUGCCCAUCUCCCACUUCUUGGAGCGUCAUUGUGGGUCUCUUGUCCGUGAGAGACCGGCGACCUACCCCAGGAGUCCCUGCCUCUGGCCUCAUGGGGACGUCGGAGCUCCGGCAUCCAAGUUGAAGAACUCAACAGUGGUCGAGGACUUCCUCGACACGACUUGCUCUGUGGCGGCAGUCGAGAGGUCAGAAUGGGCUCCAGGCGGAGCUCAGCCCGGAGUUGGAGGGCUGACCUUUCCUUGAGGGCACAAUGGAGCAUUUUAGGUCAGCGAGGGCACGACCGGCUUUGGCUAAGAAAGGAGGACCUUACAGACAAUGGGUCAUUGUGUUAUGGCAAAUUUCAACCACUAGGGGGAGCCAGCUCCCCUCCCACCCCUCAAUGGUCAAUCACCUUUAUGGGGCCACGCCCUGAGUCCUAAUAUAUAUUUCUUUUUUUAAAAAAGGAGAGUUCUCUUUGUUUUUUUCCUAGUCUCGUGGGCUUCUCUUCUGGAAAUCCUGCUCCCCUAGGAGCAUUAAGAGAACCUUGAGUCUGCUGCUGCUUGGGAGGCCUUCUCCCUGCUUUUCGGUGGGGUCAGCAUUUAUUGCCUUGGGCGUGGUGAAUUCUCCUUCCCACUCCAGGGGGGCUAUGUAUCGGAUCUCCUUAUCUGAAAGAGCAUAUUCGAUCCGGUAAUAUAAUUUUGUAUUUGGAAAACAAACGUCGUUUCUUCCGUAUAGAUUACAGGCAACCUCGUUGGCUGGAGAGGUAACAGUUAAUAACAAUGGCUGUGAUUCCGAGAGUGCAUUCCUGGAAUCAGGAACUGUGCUAAGCACAUUUCCGAGAUUGUUUUAUUUAAUCCUCACAACAUCCCAGUGAGGUAGGUGCCUUUAUUAUCCUCACUAAUCUGAAGGACUGGGAUGAGAACAGUGUGUUAGGGAGCCGCGUGGCCUGCUUUUAAAUUGCAAUCAGAGGUCUCCCACAAGCUGUGCGCAGGCUGCACUUGGCCUGCUGAUGUGUUUUAUUUGACCUCUACAAUGUUUAAACAAAAAGUGGCUCUACAUCUAUAAAUUGAGAGAUUUCACAUAAAAAUUCAGAUUUCUGGAUUCUCAAAACUGGAUUUGUAUUCCCAUAGGGCGACAGUCCGUGGGAGGGGAACAGUGGCUGCCCCUUUAGAUGAGGUAUGCGCUCUGCAGUCCAUCUCAGUCUUCUUCCUGCAUUUGUGUUCCCCACCCGGACCCUGUGGGCUAGUGGAUUUCGACUCUGGCUGCACAUUAGGAUCCCUGGAGAGCUUUAAAAACAAACAAACAAACAGCAACAACAAAGCAACAUCUAACAGUCUAAGGGGAGUCUCCGGUAUCGCUACUUUUUCCCCCCUCCCCCCUGCUCGCCACCAUGAGAUGACUCUGACGUGCAGCCAGGGCUGAGAACCAUUACUAGAAUCGCUUGAGUUUGCAACUUCUGGUCUUGAGCCCUGGCUGCUCCACUCGCUCUGCCUCUCUGACCUCGAGGGCUUGGUAAAGAGCGUUCAUCUGCCUUUGUGCAAAGAGGACUCUGAGGGAGGCGCAAGGACCGGGAAGACAGGUAUUCAAUAGUCUGGCCCCUGGCCAUCUUUUAAUCACAUGCCUCUGGAGACAGGACUAAAACCGUCUGUUCUGCUCUGAGACCACAUCUCAGCUUUCCCUUGGAUCUGCCAGCCCCCAAGUCUGGGCCCCAAGGGUGGAGAGCCUGGAAGCUUAGGUCACUUGUUCAUGUGUUCACUCUCUCUCCACUGGCAGCUCCAAGUCUGCUAUUUCUUAAGUGGAGCGGGGUCAGCAUUACUCAUGUGUAAUUAAGGUAGCUACCUCCCUUCCUUCCUCCAUGCCUGCAAUUCUACCACCGGAGACACACGCACUUGCCUAUGGCUCUGAUCUCCCGAAGCAAUUAAGAGUCCAUCAAUCACUCACACACAUCCAUGUGAUUGAUUUUUCCUAAGCUGUUUUCCUGGAGAUCUGAUCUGUGGGUGAACAUCUGGCCAGCUGAAGCUUCAUCAAAGCACAGAUUAGAAGCACAGAUUGGGAGAGGGUUACUGUUGCUAUCUUGGGCUCCUGAGGGGCCCUGGAGUUGCAAAGACUGGAGGAAGAAAGUCUGCCCCUUCCUGAUCGCCCCAGCCCUCCCCGCUCUGCUUGCCUCCCACGAUCUUGGUUGUCUGGGAGAAGGUCUUCACGUGGGUGGUGAGGCUGGAGAGCUCCAGAGACACGUGCUCCUGCAGCAUCUGCUUGUGGUGAAUGGUUGUCAUGGUGACAGCAGGCGUGGGCACUCACCUGGGAGGACCAGGGAGAGGACGAGGCCAUGGAGGACAAGGGAGGGAGCAGGAGAGAGAUUCAGAGACGUUCUAUGUGUGUAGGGGGGAAGGGACGGGGCAGGUGGACACAGUGGAGACGGCUGUGCACAGAAGAGGGUGAGGAGAGGCUGGCCAGCAAGCCUCUGCUUUCUAGCCUCUCUUUUCUUCCCUUUGUAUCUCCCUUUCCCUGGUGGGUUACAAGAACCAAUGGGCCUGUUGCCCACUGAGUAACCCCAACCCAUUCCAAGUUCGCCGAGGGGGAGGAUGUAGGGGUUAGACUUACCCAGCGAACCCAGGAAGGCCCAGAGGGACUUGAAGAUACCCAUGGAUAGCUACGUGGACUAGGGACGCAGCGCUGGCUGUUUCCGCAGGAGAGAAUGAAGUCAGACCUGGAAGGGACUUCCUGACUAAGCCAUCCUGGGGCCAGCCUUGAAAGGAAACUGUGGGCCUUCUUCCUGGGCCCUGGGGACCCUGGCCUUGGUGGAAUGCUAAGACAGACGAUAGCACAUUUCUAUGGGCCUCUUUCAUUUGUGACAUGGUAAAGACAGGUUGAGUUUUUAUUUCUUAAACUUUUUUUGAAUUGGUAGUUCAAUCACACAGUGAAAAAAUAAAACAAUAUAAAUAUC